UAAGGAAUAUUGGACAAUGGCCGAAAGGCUGAUCCAGCCAUGCCGCGUGCAGGAUGACGGUGCUAUGCAUUGUAAACUGCUUUUGUUUGGGAAUAAACCCCUCUACGUGUAGAGGGCUGAAUGUACCAAAAGAAUAAGGGUCGGCUAACUUCGUGCCAGCAGCCGCGGUAAUACGAAGGACCCAAGCGUUAUCCGGAUUUAUUGGGUUUAAAGGGUGCGUAGGCGGAUCAUUAAGUCAGUGGUGAAAGCU
rnacentral:rRNA from 1 species